UAAGUCGGGGGUGAAAACCCGGGGCUCAACCCCGGGCCUGCCUCCGAAACUGGCGGACUUGAGUACUCUAGAGGGCAGUGGAAUUCCCGGUGUAGCAGUGAAAUGCGUAGAGAUCGGGAGGAACACCAGUGGCGAAGGCGACUGCCUGGGGAGAAACUGACGCUGAGGCGCGAAAGCUGGGGGAGCAAACGGGAUUAGAUACCCCGGUAGUCCCAGCCGUAAACGAUGAGUGCUAGGUGUAGCGGGUAUCGACCCCUGCUGUGCCGCAGUAAACGCAAUAAGCACUCCGCCUGGGGAGUACGGCCGCAAGGUUGAAACUCAAAGGAAUUGACGGGGGCCCGCACAAGCAGCGGAGCAUGUGGUUUAAUUCGAAGCAACGCGUAGAACCUUACCAGGGCUUGACAUGUUGCGAAUCCUGCAGAGAUGCGGGAGUGCCCUUCGGGGAGCGCAAACACAGGUGGUGCAUGGUUGUCGUCAGCCCGUGUCGUGAGAUGUUGGGUUAAGUCCCGCAACGAGCGCAACCCCUAUCGUAUGUUGCCAGCGAGUAAAGUCGGGCACUCAUGCGAGACUGCCGGUGACAAACCGGAGGAAGGUGGGGAUGACGUCAAAUCAUCAUGCCCCUUAUGUCCUGGGCGACACACGUGCUACAAUGGCGCCCACAAAGCGAACCGAGCCCGCGAGGGGGAGGAAACCGCAAAAGGGCGUCCCAGUUCAGAUCGCAGGCUGCAACUCGCCUGCGUGAAGCCGGAGUUGCUAGUAAUCGCGGAUCAGCACGCCGCGGUGAAUACGUUCCCGGGCCUUGUACACACCGCCCGUCACACCAUGGGAGUUUGCAACACCCGAAGUCGGUGAGGUAACCCGCAAGGGAGCUAGCCGCCGAAGGUGGGGCCGAUGACUGGGGUGAAGUCGUAACAAGGUAACC
rnacentral:rRNA from 1 species